GAUGAACGCUGGCGGCGUGCUUAACACAUGCAAGUCGAACGAUGAACCCGGAGCUUGCUCCGUUGGAUUAGUGGCGAACGGGUGAGUAACACGUGAGUAACCUGCCCUUGACUCUGGGAUAACUGCGGGAAACUGUAGCUAAUACCGGAUACGACCCUCGGCGGCAUCGCCAGGGGGUGGAAAGAAUUUCGGCCCGGGCUGUGCUCGCGGCCUAUCAGCUUGAUGGUGAGGUAAUGGCUCACCAUGGCUUCGACGGGUAGCCGGCCUGAGAGGGUGACCGGUCACACUGGGAAUGAGACACGGCCCAGACUCCUACGGGAGGCAGCAGUGGGGAAUAGUGGACAAUGGGCGGAAGCCUGAUCCAGCAACGCCGCGUGAGGGAUGACGGCCUUCGGGUUGUAAACCUCUUUCAGCAGGGACGAAGCGCAAGUGACGGUACCUGCAGAAGAAGCACCGGCCAACUACGUGCCAGCCGCCGCGGUAA
rnacentral:rRNA from 1 species